GACAGAGGGUGCAAACGUUGUUCGGAAUUACUGGGCGUAAAGCGCAUGUAGGCGGCCUAGCAGGUCGGAUGUGAAAUCCCUCGGCUCAACCAAGGAAGUGCAUUCGAAACCGCAAGGCUCGAGUCCCGGAGAGGAUGGUGGAAUUCUCGGUGUAGAGGUGAAAUUCGUAGAUAUCGAGAGGAAUACCGGCGGCGAAGGCGGCCAUCUGGACGAGGACUGACGCUGAGAUGCGAAAGCGUGGGGGAGCAAACAGG
rnacentral:rRNA from 1 species